rnacentral:rRNA from 1 species
GAUGAACGCUGGCGGCGUGCCUAAUACAUGCAAGUCGAGCGAACAGACGAGGAGCUUGCUCCUCUGACGUUAGCGGCGGACGGGUGAGUAACACGUGUAUAACCUACCUAUAAGACUGGGAUAACUUCGGGAAACCGGAGCUAAUACCGGAUAAUAUAUUGAACCGCAUGGUUCAAUAGUGAAAGACGGUUUUGCUGUCACUUAUAGAUGGAUCCGCGCCGCAUUAGCUAGUUGGUAAGGUAACGGCUUACCAAGGCAACGAUGCGUAGCCGACCUGAGAGGGUGAUCGGCCACACUGGAACUGAGACACGGUCCAGACUCCUACGAGAGGCAGCAGUAGGGAAUCUUACGCAAUGGGCGAAAGCUUGACGGAGCAACGCCGCGUGAGUGAUGAAGGUCUUCGGAUCGUAAAACUCUGUUAUUAGGGAAGAACAAAUGUGUAAGCAACUAUGCACGUCUUGACGGUACCUAAUCAGAAAGCCACGGCUAACUACGUG